CUCGGACGGAUCUGGCUGAACUCUCUCGCUUUCUUCGCAAGGCGAAAAUGCUAGGCAGCCGUCAACAUUGUCGACUCGCCCUUGGUUACUAAUUUCGAUUAUUUUCUUCUGAUUUGAUUUGAUUUCUUGGUGAUGUUUUUGUGUUUUUGUUUUCGGAAACCUUUGGUUAGAUUAAUUUCUUUUUGUUUGAUUUCAUUUUUUGGUUAGCUUUUUGUGUUUUGUUUUCGAAAACCUUUUUGUUUUUUUAUGUAGAAGGAGAAUGAAAGGAUGAUUAUAUGUUUCCCUAUUGGUUUGAUCGCCGAGAUGAUGGCGAAUCUUUUGUAUUAGCUCUAUCUGAUUAUUCUCUUUAUUUUUUCGUUCUUGAUUUUUUUUUUUUCUGAAAAAUGGGAAUGCAAUUAGAUUUAAAAGACAGUAUUUGAGGGUGGAUCAUGAAUGCCAUUCGUCAGAUUGGCCAGAUGUAAUAGCUUUUUCGCAAUAGUAAUCCUCUGGUAAUACAGAAGAUUAUUGUUAUUAUUUUGUUUUUUAGUUUUAAUUUUUUUUAAGGAGGAGAGAAUGAUAUGAUGAAUGAAUUUGUUUCCCUAUUGGUUUGAUCGCCGGGAUGAUGGCGACAAAUAGUAUUAGCUCUAUCUGAUCAUUCUGUUCCUCCCUCUUGCGAUUUUUCAAUGUCUUAAAUGUUAAUAAAUCUUCGUUUCAAAAACCUAAUCGAGCUUUUCGGUCCUCUUUCGUUUUCAUCAAUUAUUUUUAUUUUUAUUUUUUGAUCACAUCCAUCCAUUUUUGUAUGGUUUUUUUUUAUGACAUCCAUAUGUAACAAGCCAAAUUUCAUCCCUUAUCCGAGUUACAACUAUUAAUCGAAUGACGAACGGCAUGUUGCAAUUAAUUAUUUUCAAAUUAUAAUUAAUACUAUACAAAAUUGUUUAAAGCAAGAAUAAGUAUGAUAUUUUUCAUCCUAAAAUAUCUUUGAAUUAGUAUUAAGUACACUGAUUCUCAAUAUAUAUAUAUAUUUCGAAGAAUACUGUAUGCAUUAUUAUUUGUUUCUUUAUUCUCAAAGUUUCAUUAAAAGUUUUUAUCUUUUCUUAUCAAUUUUGUGUACAAUUAUUUGUAUGCUAUCAAUAUUUUCCUAAAGUUCACAG
rnacentral:lncRNA from 1 species